GACGAACGCUGGCGGCGUGCCUAAUACAUGCCAGUCGAGCGAACAGACGAGGAGCUUGCUCCUCUGACGUUAUAGGCGGACGGAAGAGUCACACGUGGAUAACCUAACUAUAAGACUGGGAUACCUUCGGGAAACCGGAUCUAAUACCGGAUAAUAUAUUGAACCGCAUGGUUCACUAGUGAAAUUCGGUUUUUCUGUCACUUAUAGAUUGAUCCGCGCCGCAUUAGCUAGUUGGUAAGGUAACGGCUUAGCAAGGCAACGAUGCGUAGCCGACACGAGCGGGUGAUCCGACACACUGUAACUGAGACACGGCCCAGACUCCUACGCGAGGCAGCAGUAGGGAAUCUUCCGGAAUGGGCGAAUGGCUGACGUAGCAACGCCGCGUAAGUGAUGAAGGUCUUCUGAUCGUAAAGCUCUGUUAUUAGGGGAGAACUAAUGUGUAAGUAACUAUGCACGUAUUGACGGUACCGGAUCAGAAAGCCACGGCUAACUACGUG
rnacentral:rRNA from 1 species